GCCCUUUUAGCUCAGUGGUAGAGCGUCGCACUUGUAAUGCGGCGGUCAACGGUUCGAUCCCGUUAGGGGGCA